rnacentral:rRNA from 1 species
UCAGACGAUGCGUCAUGCAUAUCAAUAAGCGGAGGAAAAGAAACUAACAAGGAUUCCCUUAGUAACGGCGAGUGAAGCGGGAAGAGCUCAAAUUUGAAAUCUUCAAGGUUUUACCUUGACGAAUUGUAGUUUAAAGAAGUGUUUUCUGUUGAAGUUUUGGUAAAAGUUCUUUGGAAUAGGACAUCAUAGAGGGUGAGAAUCCCGUAUUUGACCAUUAUUUUCAGCUGUGUGAUACACUUUCAAAGAGUCGGAUUGUUUGGGAAUGCAGUCCAAAAUGGGUGGUAAAUUUCAUCUAAAGCUAAAUAUUGGCGAGAGACCGAUAGCGAACAAGUACCGUGAGGGAAAGAUGAAAAGAACUUUGAAAAGAGAGUUAAACAGUACGUGAAAUUGUCAAAAGGGAAGCGUUUGACACCAGUGUUGUUUUCUCGAAAAUCAAUUAAAAAGAGUUAGAUUUUGUUGUGUAUUGACCUUAACAGCUUGCAUUUCAAUUUUCUUGCUUUUUUUAAUACACUUUUCGUUUAACAAGUCAACAUCAGUUUCUUUUGUUGUAAAAAGGUCAUUGGAAGGUGGCUUUCUUUUCGGAGAAAGUGUUUAUAGCCUUUGACUCCUGCAAUCGGAGAGACUGAGGUCUGCAGCGUAGAUCCUUCGGGGUUAGAUACAUUUGUGCUAAGUUAUAGCUUUUUAUAGACAACUUGUUGACUAUGAUUAGUCUUGUAGCUUACUCGCUUAUGCUAUUUUACCUACGCUUAGGAUGUUGAGUCGUAGAGCACGCAG